ACAGCAGCAGCCACGGUAAUACAGAGGGUGCGAGCGUUAAUCGGAUUUACUGGGCGUAAAGCGUCCGUAGGCGGCUUCUUAAGUCGGAUGUGAAAUCCCUGAGCUUAACUUAGGAAUUGCAUUCGAUACUGGGAAGCUAGAGUAUGGGAGAGGAUGGUAGAAUUCCAGGUGUAGCGGUGAAAUGCGUAGAGAUCUGGAGGAAUACCGAUGGCGAAGGCAGCCAUCUGGCCUAAUACUGACGCUGAGGUACGAAAGCAUGGGGAGCAAACAGGAUUAGAUACCCCGGUAGUCCCUGUCUCUUAUAC
rnacentral:rRNA from 1 species